rnacentral:rRNA from 1 species
CCUACGGGGGGCAGCAGUGGGGAAUAUUGCACAAUGGGCGCAAGCCUGAUGCAGCCAUGCCGCGUGUAUGAAGAAGGCCUUCGGGCUGUCAAGUACUUUCAGCGAGGAGGAAGGCGGUGAGGUUAAUAACCCCAUCGAUUGACGUUACUCGCAGAAGAAGCACCGGCUAACUCCGUGCCAGCAGCCGCGGUAAUCCGGCCCGCCCAACCGUCUAUCGGAAGUACUGGGCGUAAAGCGCACGCAGGCGGUCGGGCGGGUCGGAUGUGAGUGCCCCGGGCUCAACCUGGGAACUGCAGUCGAUACUGGCAUGCGAGAGUCGUGUAGAGGGGGGUAGAAUUCCAGGUGUAGCGGUGACAUGCGUAGAGAGCUGGAGGAGUACCGGUGGCGAGGUCGGCCCCCUGGACAAAGACUGACGCUCAGGUGCGAAAGCGUGGGGAGCAAACAGGAUUAGAUACCCGUGUAGUC